UCCCUGCUGGCGCAAUGGUAGCGCGCAAGACUUCUAUGUAGGGCUCAAUCCUAUGUGUAAUCCGGAAUCUUGAGGCUGUUGGUUCGAGCCCAACGUAGGGAG